rnacentral:rRNA from 1 species
ACCUGCGGAAGGAUCAUUGUCGUGACCCUAACAAAAAUAGACUGUGAAUAUGUCAUCGAUAACGUCGGGUGAUGGUCCUUGCACCGUCCCACGGCACAGGCCCUUUUCCUCCUUCUGGAGGGGAGGGUCACCAAAAGAACCCACGGCGUCGGAUGGCGUCAAGGAACACUGUUGUUGCUUGCUCAGGGCUACGGUCGGCUUGCUGAACGAGCCCUGUGUUGCGAUGCUACCUGAAUCAAUAAGACUCUCGGCAACGGAUAUCUUGGCUCCCGCAUCGAUGAAGAACGUAGCAAAAUGCGAUACCUGGUGUGAAUUGCAGAAUCCCGUGAACCAUCGAGUUUUUGAACGCAAGUUGCGCCCGAGGCCUCUUGGUCGAGGGCACGUCUGCCUGGGUGUCACGUCAAAAGACACUCCCCUGCAAUCUUGGUACGGGAUGUGGCGUUUGGCCUUCCAUUACAAUCAUAAGGUGUGGUAGGCUAAAGAAAGUGGCUGCUGGAUAUGGUGCCAGUCACAACACUUGGUGGACGACACAUGUUGUUCUCGGAGUUGUGACCUGUACUGCUUUUGGCGACAUUGGCCCAUUGGACCCAUGGAUCGAGCUUUGAUUGCUUGCACCGCGACCCCAGGUCAGUCGGGAUUACCCGCUGAAUUUAAGCAUAUCAAUAAG